rnacentral:rRNA from 1 species
GGCGGCUGCCUUACACAUGCAAGUCGAACGGCAGCACGGGUGCUUGCACCUGGUGGCGAGUGGCGAACGGGUGAGUAAUACAUCGGAACAUGUCCKGUAGUGGGGGAUAGCCCGGCGAAGGCCGGAUUAAUACCGCMCACGAUCUACGGAUGAAAGCGGGGGACCUUCGGGCCUCGCGCUAURGGGUUGGCCGAUGGCUGAUUARCUAGUUGGUGGGGUAARGGCCUACCAAGGCGACCAUCARUAGCUGGUCUGAGAGGACGACCAGCCACACUGGGACUGAGACACGGCCCAGACUCCUACSGGAGGCAGCAGUGGGGAAUUUUGGACRAUGGGCGAAAGCCUGAUCCAGCAAUGCCGCGUGUGUGAAGAAGGCCUUCGGGUUGUAAAGCACUUUUGUCCGGAAAGAAAUCCUUGACUCUAAUACAGCCGGGGGAUGACGGUACCGGAAGAAUAAGCACCGGCAAACUACGUGCCAGCAGCCGCGGGUAAUACA